rnacentral:rRNA from 1 species
AGAGUUUGAUCAUGGCUCAGGACGAACGCUGGCGGCGUGCCUAAAACAUGCAAGUCGAACGGUGUAGCAAUACACAGUGGCGAACGGCGAAGUAAUACAUAAGCAACGUGCCCUGAAGACUGGGAUAGUCAGAGGAAACUCUGGGUAAUACCAGAUGUGGUCAUCAUCCGGCAUCGGGAGAUGAUUAAAUGGUUUUUCGCUUCAGGAGCGGCUUAUGGCCUAUCAGGUAGUUGGUGGGGUAAUGGCCUACCAAGCCGACGACGGGUAGCGGGUCUGAGAGGAUGAUCCGCUCGAGUGGGACUGAGACACGGCCCACACACCUACGGGUGGCAGCAGUUGGGAAUCUUGCACAAUGGGGGAAACCCUGAUGCAGCGACGCCGCGUGGAGGAUGAAGGAUCUAGGUCUGNAAAUCUUUUUUCNGGGGCCACUUA